rnacentral:rRNA from 1 species
AGAACGAACGCUGGCGGCGCGUCUUAAGCAUGCAAGUCGGACGGCAAGGGUUGUGCUUGCACAACUCCUAGAGUGGCGGACUGGUGAGUAACGCGUGGGUGACCUGCCCUCGAGAUGGGGAUAGCCAUUAGAAAUAGUGGAUAAUACCGAAUACGCUCAUGACCCUGUGGGAUAUGAGGAAAACAGGCUACGGCCUGGCUCGAGGAUGGGCCCGCGUCCCAUUAGCUAGUUGGUGAGGUAACGGCCCACCAAGGCGACGAUGGGUAUCCGGCCUGAGAGGGUGUACGGACACAUUGGGACUGAGAUACGGCCCAAACUCCUACGGGAGGCAGCAGCUAAGAAUAUUCCGCAAUGGACGAAAGUCUGACGGAGCGACGCCGCGUGGAUGAAGAAAGGCCGGAAGGUCGUAAAAUCCUUUUGCUGAUGAAGAAUAAGUGUGGUAGGGAAUGACCGCAUGAUGACAUUAGUCGGUGAAUAAGCCCCGGCUAACUACGUGCCAGCAGCCGC